rnacentral:rRNA from 1 species
UACGGGGGGGGCAAGCGUUGUUCGGAAUUACUGGGCGUAAAGGGCUCGUAGGUGGCCAACUAAGUCAGACGUGAAAUCCCUCGGCUUAACCGGGGAACUGCGUCUGAUACUGGAUGGCUUGAGUUCGGGAGAGGGAUGCGGAAUUCCAGGUGUAGCGGUGGAAAUGCGUAGAUAUCUGGAGGAACACCGGUGGCGAAGGCGGCAUCCUGGACCGACACUGACACUGAGGAGCGAAGCCAGGGGAGCAAACGGG